rnacentral:rRNA from 1 species
UUAAGUUAGAAAGGGCGCACGGUGGAUGCCUUGACACUAGGAGUCGAUGAAGGACGGGACUAACGCCGAUAUGCUUCGGGGAGCUGUAAGUAAGCUUUGAUCCGAAGAUUUCCGAAUGGGGAAACCCACCAUACGUAAUGGUAUGGUAUCCUUAUCUGAAUACAUAGGGUAAGGAAGACAGACCCAGGGAACUGAAACAUCUAAGUACCUGGAGGAAGAGAAAGCAAAUGCGAUUUCCUGAGUAGCGGCGAGCGAAACGGAACAUAGCCCAAACCAAGAGGCUUGCCUCUUGGGGUUGUAGGACAUUCUAUACGGAGUUACAAAGGAACGAGGUAGACGAAGCGACCUGGAAAGGUCCGUCGUAGAGGGUAACAACCCCGUAGUCGAAACUUCGUUCUCUCUUGAAUGUAUCCUGAGUACGGCGGAACACGUGAAAUUCCGUCGGAAUCUGGGAGGACCAUCUCCCAAGGCUAAAUACUCCCUAGUGAUCGAUAGUGAACCAGUACCGUGAGGGAAAGGUGAAAAGCACCCCGGAAGGGGAGUGAAAGAGAUCCUGAAACCGUGUGCCUACAAAUAGUCAGAGCCCGUUAACGGGUGAUGGCGUGCCUUUUGUAGAAUGAACCGGCGAGUUACGAUCCCGUGCGAGGUUAAGCUGAAGAGGCGGAGCCGCAGCGAAAGCGAGUCUGAAUAGGGCGUUUAGUACGUGGUCGUAGACCCGAAACCAGGUGAUCUACCCAUGUCCAGGGUGAAGUUCAGGUAACACUGAAUGGAGGCCCGAACCCACGCACGUUGAAAAGUGCGGGGAUGAGGUGUGGGUAGCGGAGAAAUUCCAAUCGAACCUGGAGAUAGCUGGUUCUCCCCGAAAUAGCUUUAGGGCUAGCCUUAAGUGUAAGAGUCUUGGAGGUAGAGCACUGAUUGGACUAGGGGUCCUCAUCGGAUUACCGAAUUCAGUCAAACUCCGAAUGCCAAUGACUUAUCCUUAGGAGUCAGACUGCGAGUGAUAAGAUCCGUAGUCAAAAGGGAAACAGCCCAGACCGCCAGCUAAGGUCCCAAAGUGUGUAUUAAGUGGAAAAGGAUGUGGAGUUGCUUAGACAACUAGGAUGUUGGCUUAGAAGCAGCCACCAUUUAAAGAGUGCGUAAUAGCUCACUAGUCGAGUGACUCUGCGCCGAAAAUGUACCGGGGCUAAAUACACCACCGAAGCUGCGGAUUGAUACCAAUGGUAUCAGUGGUAGGGGAGCGUUCUAAGGACAGUGAAGUCAGACCGUAAGGACUGGUGGAGUGCUUAGAAGUGAGAAUGCCGGUAUGAGUAGCGAAAGACGGGUGAGAAUCCCGUCCACCGAAUGCCUAAGGUUUCCUGAGGAAGGCUCGUCCGCUCAGGGUUAGUCAGGACCUAAGCCGAGGCCGACAGGCGUAGGCGAUGGACAACAGGUUGAUAUUCCUGUACCACCUCUUUAUCGUUUGAGCAAUGGAGGGACGCAGAAGGAUAGAAGAAGCGUGCGAUUGGUUGUGCACGUCCAAGCAGUUAGGCUGAUAAGUAGGCAAAUCCGCUUAUCGUAAAGGCUGAGCUGUGAUGGGGAAGCUCCUUAUGGAGCGAAGUCUUUGAUUCCCCGCUGCCAAGAAAAGCUUCUAGCGAGAUAAAAGGUGCCUGUACCGCAAACCGACACAGGUAGGCGAGGAGAGAAUCCUAAGGUGUGCGAGAGAACUCUGGUUAAGGAACUCGGCAAAAUGACCCCGUAACUUCGGGAGAAGGGGUGCUUUCUUAACGGAAAGCCGCAGUGAAUAGGCCCAAGCGACUGUUUAGCAAAAACACAGCUCUCUGCGAAGCCGUAAGGCGAAGUAUAGGGGGUGACACCUGCCCGGUGCUGGAAGGUUAAGGAGAGGGGUUAGCGUAAGCGAAGCUCUGAACUGAAGCCCCAGUAAACGGCGGCCGUAACUAUAACGGUCCUAAGGUAGCGAAAUUCCUUGUCGGGUAAGUUCCGACCCGCACGAAAGGUGUAACGAUUUGGGCACUGUCUCAACCAGAGACUCGGUGAAAUUAUAGUACCUGUGAAGAUGCAGGUUACCCGCGACAGGACGGAAAGACCCCGUGGAGCUUUACUGUAGCCUGAUAUUGAAUUUUGGUACAGUUUGUACAGGAUAGGCGGGAGCCAUUGAAACCGGAGCGCUAGCUUCGGUGGAGGCGCUGGUGGGAUACCGCCCUGACUGUAUUGAAAUUCUAACCUACGGGUCUUAUCGACCCGGGAGACAGUGUCAGGUGGGCAGUUUGACUGGGGCGGUCGCCUCCUAAAGUGUAACGGAGGCGCCCAAAGGUUCCCUCAGAAUGGUUGGAAAUCAUUCGUAGAGUGCAAAGGCAUAAGGGAGCUUGACUGCGAGACCUACAAGUCGAGCAGGGACGAAAGUCGGGCUUAGUGAUCCGGUGGUUCCGCAUGGAAGGGCCAUCGCUCAACGGAUAAAAGCUACCCCGGGGAUAACAGGCUUAUCUCCCCCAAGAGUCCACAUCGACGGGGAGGUUUGGCACCUCGAUGUCGGCUCAUCGCAUCCUGGGGCUGUAGUCGGUCCCAAGGGUUGGGCUGUUCGCCCAUUAAAGCGGUACGCGAGCUGGGUUCAGAACGUCGUGAGACAGUUCGGUCCCUAUCCGUCGUGGGCGUAGGAAAUUUGAGAGGAGCUGUCCUUAGUACGAGAGGACCGGGAUGGACGCACCGCUGGUGUACCAGUUGUUCUGCCAAGGGCAUAGCUGGGUAGCUAUGUGCGGAAGGGAUAAGUGCUGAAAGCAUCUAAGCAUGAAGCCCCCCUCAAGAUGAGAUUUCCCAUAGCGUAAGCUAGUAAGAUCCCUGAAAGAUGAUCAGGUUGAUAGGUUCGAGGUGGAAGCAUGGUGACAUGUGGAGCUGACGAAUACUAAUAGAUCGAGGACUUAACCAU